rnacentral:rRNA from 1 species
UCCUGGCUCAGAAUGAACGUUGGCGGCGUGGAUUAGGCAUGCAAGUCGUGCGGAAAGGCUCCUUCGGGAGUACUCGAGCGGCGAAAGGGAGAGUAACGCGUGGAUAUCUACCCUCGGAUCUGGGAUAGCGGUGGGAAACCGCCGGUAAUACCAGAUGACGUCUCCGGACCAAAGGUGUGAUUCCGUCCGAGGAUGAGUCCGCGUCCUAUUAGCUUGUUGGUGGGGUAAUGGCCUACCAAGGCUGUGAUGGGUACCGGGUGUGAGAGCAUGGCCCGGCUCACUGGGACUGAGACACUGCCCAGACACCUACGGGUGGCUGCAGUCGAGAAUCUUCGGCAAUGGGCGCAAGCCUGACCGAGCGACGCCGCGUGCGGGAUGAAGGCCUUCGGGUUGUAAACCGCUGUCAGUGGGGAGGAAAUGCAUGAGGGUUCUCUCUCAUGUUUGACCUAUCCGCAGAGGAAGUACGGGCUAAGUUCGUGCCAGCAGCCGCGGUAAUACGAACCGUACGAACGUUAUUCGGAAUCACUGGGCUUAAAGAGUGCGUAGGCGGCCUGGCAAGUUGGGUGUGAAAGCCCUCGGCUCAACCGAGGAAUUGCGCCCAAAACUGCCAGACUUGAGGGAGGCAGAGGUAAGCGGAACUAAUGGUGGAGCGGUGAAAUGCGUUGAUAUCAUUAGGAACACCUGAGGCGAAAGCAGCUUACUGGGCCUCUUCUGACGCUGAGGCACGAAAGCUAGGGGAGCGAACGGGAUUAGAUACCCCGGUAGUCCUAGCUGUAAACGAUGAGCACUGGAUUGAGGGGACUUCCACAUCCUCUCGGUCGUAGCGAAAGUGUUAAGUGCUCCGCCU